rnacentral:misc_RNA from 1 species
GGUAGUUAGAGGUGGACUUGGGUGUAUAUAUCUAUGUGUUUCUUCGCUAGGAAUUUUUUCCUUUUUCCUUUAUAAGUUUAUGAAAGUUUGGCAAAUAAUUUUCCCUUUGUUACAAUAAACCAUUUUCUAUGAGAACAUCUUAGCUUUCCCUUUACCAAGGAAAACAUUGUCUGUUAAAAAUUUUCCCGGGCACAUUGAAACACUGGAAAUGCUUUCUAGUAACAUUUUUUUGCUAAACAAUUGCAGUCUUGGUGGUGGAAUCAUAUGUACUUGUGGUUUUGUUUGGACUGAUUGGGCCUGCCUGCCAACAUAUUCCUUACUAUAAAUUACUUUUUAAGCUUGUUUUCUAAUUUGAGAAAGUAUUGCCUUGAGAAUGGAAAAUGGAGGAGAAGAAUAUAGUCAUGUUGUUUGUAGAUGGCUUGUGAUGAUGACCAUUUAACUAGAAGAAUAACAUGCUUUUAUAUUACUGUUCAUUCUCAGGGAAAAUAAGAAUUUUGAAUAUGAAAA